rnacentral:rRNA from 1 species
AAGUGCUGGGAAAGUACCUCUGGCAGUCCACUCUGCAUAGGCUUUCUGUGCAAGGCGACAUGCUUCAUUGCGGGCAAAAUGUUUAACUCUGUGGUCAAGGAACACAGGUGUGAAGGGUCAGCAUUCAAUAGCCAGUGCUAUUGCUAUCUGUGCGACAAAUAG